CCCCCGGCCCGGGGGCGGGAGCGGCUGAUCCCAGCUCGCCCACUUGCCAGGAGUGGGGCGCGCGCGGGGCGGGGGGUUGGAGAGGGCACGGCCACAGCCCUCGGUAGGGCCUGGCCCGCCCCGGACACGCGGGAGAGGAGCGCGAGAGCUGUCUCGGGGAGGUGCCCCUGCAACGGCAGCGGAGGCCCGGCAAGGAGGGCGCGCGAGGCACACCCCAGGGCGCGGCGCGGCGCUCGGGACCGGUGCGCGGGCUUUGCGCGCGGGAGGCCGGGCGCCCCGCUCCGCCCCUACCUGGGGCCGUGUCCGGAGGCGCGGGCCGGUCGCUGCGUGGUAUUGGUUCCAGCUCAGCUUCGGGAGGCUCCGAGCGACCUGGUCAGCAGGGGAGAGAAACAGCAAGUGCUGUAUUGCCGACGAAACCGAAUAGGAGGCGACUGGCAGGGGGCCAGCCCUGUCCAGAGAGAAUGGUUUGGAGUCCAUUGCUUCUUGUGCUGCAGCAAGAGAAGAGCUGGCCGAGUCCCAAUGACAGUGGAAACACUGUGAUGGUGUUGGAUUUGCACAGGUGUCACUGGAGGCAUAAUCUGAUCUGUGGGCUGUUCAUUGCUGAUGAACCUAUGAAAGAGGCACAGAUCUCAGCUUGACUUCUGGGUUUCAGGACAAGUUUACAACACUAGCAACUGGUCAACAGCUUUGGAUACAUAAACAGAGUCUAUUUGGUCUAGAGGUCAUUGAGAGAUGUUAGAAAGAGCCUGUUUCCAGGGCUGUUUCCACUGGCAUUUUUCAUUUCCAAAUUACAUUCAUAUAAGGACUAAUACCUGGCGUGUAAUUAGAAAAGUUCAAAGAGACUUUACCAAUGAUGAUGGCGUUAGCUGGAAUUAGGAAUCACCAACACGCAUUCAGAUUGGGAAAUGGCUUUCUAAGCAGCACAGCAGCAGAAAGGGAUCUCGGAGUCACAGUUGGCUGCCAAGAUGAACAUGAGUCGGUAAUGUGAUGAAGUGAUCAAUAGAGCUAACCUCACUCCAUCAUGCAUGAGCAGGUGCAUCACAAACAGGUCCAAGGAGGUGAUGCUCCCCCUCUAUGCGGCACUGGUCAGGCCACAGCUGGAGUACUGCAUCCGGUUCUGGGUGCUGCAAUUCAAGAGGGACAUGGAUAACCUGGAGAGGGUCCAGAGGAGGUCACUCGCGUGGUUAGGUGCCUGCAGGAAAGGUCCUAGGAGGAGAGAUUGAGGACCCUGGAUCUCUUUGGCCUCUGCAAGAGAAGGCCGAGAGGGGAUCUGGUGGCCAUCUACAAAUAUGUUGGGGGGUGAUAGCAAGGUAUAGGAGAUGCUCUGUUUACUAAGGCGCCCCUUGGAGAAACUAGGAACAACAGUCACAAACUGAUGGACAGCAGAUUUGGGCUGAACAUGAGGAAAAACUUCUUUAUGGUGAGGGUUACCAGAGUCUGGAGCAGGUUCCCAAGGGAGGUGGUGCUCCCCCUACCCUGGGGGUCUUUAAGAGGAGACUGGACAAACACGUGGCCAGGGUUGUCUGACCCCAGCGCUCUUUCUUCCCUAGGGCAGGGGUCGGACUCGAUGAUCUACUGAGGUCCCUCCUGACCCUAAAAAUCUAUGAAAUUUAUGCAACUCUGCACUGUGUGUGUGUAUUCAAGAACAGAGCGGCAGAAAUUCAGCAGAAAAGUUAGCAGUAUCUGACUGUGAUUCAAAUAAAGUGAAUGACCUACAGAGCA
ensembl:lncRNA